rnacentral:ncRNA from 1 species
CGUGCGUCACUCCACGAAAGUUUGCGACACCCGAAGUCGGUGGGGUAACCCUUACGGGAGCCAGCCGCCGACGGUGGGGCAGAUGAUUGGGGUGAAGUCGUAACAAGGUAGCCGUAUCGGAAGGUUCGGCUGGAUCCCCUCCUUU